CGAGAAACGAAAGAAAAUCCCCAUACAAAACCGCCAUUUGCAUUCGGCGGAAACAGCAGUACAGGCAAUACAGAAAAUACAUUGGCAUAUACAUAAGUGUAAAGCGCAUAUCUCACCAGACUUAUUGGCAACCCUUAAAGGCACAGUCUCUAGUUAUAGUCCAAGUGGCUAGGUUUGCCACAAUGCUCCCCCAGAACCAAGCCGGCAUACACAGUCUGAUCCCAACGGAUCGGCUUGGGGAUGUCCGGAGGAGUGCUCACAGAUCAUUUC